GGUCCGUAUGUGGUUUAUGUUGUAGCGGAUGGCGUGCCGAGCAUUGGGGUAUUUGUGAUGGUUGAAGCGAAGCGUUAGAUGGUUCAAGUAGUUGCUGGAGGUAAAUGGGAACUAGUGGCAUCUUUCUGCUUUUCUUUUCUUUAUUCUUUUCUUCUUUUCUCCUUGUUUCACCCCUUUCCUUCAUCUUCGAUCUUUGGGGGAGUUUUGGUUGAACGUUGAGGCGCUUAUCUUUCUCUUUGGCAAACAUUGAGCAAACCAGAAAAAAAAGUCCAGCAGCAUUUUGGCUGAUUCGGUAAACUUGAAUAUCGAUGAAAAAGUUAGCUUGAUGUUAGUCUGAAGACAUUGAACCCCCAUUCUCAAGCUCCCACUGCAAAGUUCAGGAACUCGGAUAAUGGAUUAUCCGCCCACUCAUCGACAAAGCUCCGCGCCAACUUUUAUAAAUCCACAGACCAUGCACAGGCCCGAGAGAGAUGGUUUGAGCUAGAAAAUGAUUAUUGCUUUGAGUCCUAAUGAUGUUUGGGAUGACUGCUGUAUUCCCUGGAAAGUUCAACAUUUUCCUUCUUGGGUUUCCCACCCAUCCAUUGUAAAGCCUACCUCUUCCUGGGAUUCUGCAUGAAAUGCCAAUGGCAUUUGUGAUUUCGUCGGCAAAUAGCCGUAUUUGAAGAAUAUGUUUUCAUUAUCCAUCUUCCUUUACCUGGGGGAACUCAAUGUAAUGUCUUAUCAAAAGCAAUACCGCAUCACACUUCCUUUUGCAGUGAUACACUACUGCAUGACAUUCUUAUGGCCA
rnacentral:sRNA from 1 species